rnacentral:rRNA from 1 species
UUUGAUCNUGGNUCAGGACGAACGCGGGNGGNGUGCCUAAUACAUGCAANUNGAGCGGACAGAUGGGAGCNUGCUCCCUGAUGUUAGCGGCGGGCGGGNGAGUAACACGUGGGUAACCCGCCUGUNAGACUGGGAUAACUCCCGGAAACCCGGGCUAAUACCGGAUGCUUGUUUGAACCGCAUGGUUCAAACAUAAAAGGUGGCUUCGGCUACCACUUACAGAUGGACCCGCGGCGCGCAUUAGCUAGUUGGUGAGGUAACGGCUCACCAAGGCAACGAUGCGUAGCCGACCUGAGAGGGUGAUCGGCCACACUGGGACUGAGACACGGCCCAGACUCCUACGGGAGGCAGCAGUAGGGAAUCUUCCGCAAUGGACGAAAGUCUGACGGAGCAACGCCGCGUGAGUGAUGAAGGUUUUCGGAUCGUAAAGCUCUGUUGUUAGGGAAGAACAAGUACCGUUCGAAUAGGGCGGUACCUUGACGGUACCUAACCAGAAAGCCACGGCUAACUACGUGCCAGCAGCCGCGGUAAUACGUAGGUGGCAAGCGUUGUCCGGAAUUAUUGGGCGUAAAGGGCUCGCAGGCGGUUCCUUAAGUCUGAUGUGAAAGCCCCCGGCUCAACCGGGGAGGGUCAUUGGAAACUGGGGAACUUGAGUGCAGAAGAGGAGAGUGGAAUUCCACGUGUAGCGGUGAAAUGCGUAGAGNAUGUGGAGGAACACCAGUGGCGAAGGCGACUUCUNNNNNUCUGUAACNGACGNNA